UCAAAAACAUCGCCUCUUGCAAAUUGAGAAUAAGAGGUCCAGCCUGCCCUGUGACUAUAUGUUUAACGGCCGCGGUAUUUUAACCGUGCGAAGGUAGCGCAAUCACUUGUCUUUUAAAUGGAGACCUGUAUGAAUGGCAUAACGAGGGCUUAACUGUCUCCUUUUUCAAGUCAAUGAAAUUGAUCUCCCCGUGCAGAAGCGGGGAUACACCCAUAAGACGAGAAGACCCUAUGGAGCUUAAGACGCCAAGGCAUAUCAUGUUAAACACCCCUAAACAAAGGGCCAAACCAAGUGAUAACGUAUGCCCUAAUGUCUUUGGUUGGGGCGACCGCGGGGAAACAAAAAACCCCCACGUGGAAUGGGAGCACCCCUCCUACAACCAAGAGCUGCAGCUCUAAUAAACAGAAUUUCUGACCAAUAAGAUCCGGCAACGCCGAUCAACGGACCGAGUUACCCUAGGGAUAACAGCGCAAUCCCCUUUAAGAGCCCAUAUCGACAAGGGGGUUUACGACCUCGAUGUUGGAUCAGGACAUCCUAAUGGUGCAGCCGCUAUUAAGGGUUCGUUUGUUCAACGAUUAAAGUCCUACGUGAUCUGAG
rnacentral:rRNA from 1 species